rnacentral:tRNA from 1 species
GGGAAUAAAGUUGCUUUGUUACUGCUAAUAACAGUGUUGGUUAAUUUAUUUUUACCUGUUCCUU